GCUCAGUAACACGUGGAUAACCUACCCUCAGGAGGGGGAUAACCCCGGGAAACUGGGGAUAAUACCCCAUAGUCCAGGGACGCUGGAAUGCCCCCUGGUCCAAAGGUCCGCCGCCUGAGGAUGGGUCUGCGGCCGAUUACGUAGUUGUUGGGGUAACGGCCCAACAAGCCUUUGAUCGGUACGGGUUGUGAGAGCAAGAGCCCGGAGAUGGAUUCUGAGACACAAAUCCAGGCCCUACGGGGCGCAGCAGGCGCGAAAACUUUACAAUGCGAGAAAUCGUGAUAAGGGAACCCCGAGUGCCCGUAAAUUCGGGCUGUCCAUCAGCGUAAAAAACUGGUGAAGAAAGGGCCGGGCAAGACCGGUGCCAGCCGCCGCGGUAAUACCGGCGGCUCGAGUGGUGGCCACUAUUACUGGGCUUAAAGCGUCCGUAGCUGGAUUGUUAAGUCUCUUGGGAAAUCCACCGGCUCAACCGAUGGGCGUUCAGGAGAAACUGGCAAUCUAGGGACCGGGAGAGGUGAGAGGUACUUCAGGGGUAGGAGUGAAAUCCUGUAAUCCUUGGGGGACCACCUGUGGCGAAGGCGUCUCACUAGAACGGCUCCGACAGUGAGGGACGAAAGCUGGGGGAGCAAACCGGAUUAAAUACCCGGGUAAUCCCAGCUGUAAACGAUGC
rnacentral:rRNA from 1 species